rnacentral:rRNA from 1 species
GACGAACGCUGGCGGCGUGCCUAAUACAUGCAAGUAGAACGCUGAAGAGAGGAGCUUGCUCUUCUUGGAUGAGUUGCGAACGGGUGAGUAACGCGUAGGUAACCUGCCUGGUAGCGGGGGAUAACUAUUGGAAACGAUAGCUAAUACCGCAUAAAAUUGAUUAUUGCAUGAUAAUUAAUUGAAAGAUGCAAUUGCAUCACUACCAGAUGGACCUGCGUUGUAUUAGCUAGUUGGUGAGGUAACGGCUCACCAAGGCGACGAUACAUAGCCGACCUGAGAGGGUGAUCGGCCACACUGGGACUGAGACACGGCCCAGACUCCUACGGGAGGCAGCAGUAGGGAAUCUUCGGCAAUGGGGGGAACCCUGACCGAGCAACGCCGCGUGAGUGAAGAAGGUUUUCGGAUCGUAAAGCUCUGUUGUAAGAGAAGAACGGGUGUGAGAGUGGAAAGUUCACACUGUGACGGUAUCUUACCAGAAAGAGACGGCUAACUACGUG